UAAGGUAGCCAAGCGGUUCAAGGCCUCGGUCUGCAAAAUCGUUGUUCGUGGGUUCGAAUCCCACCCUUA
rnacentral:tRNA from 1 species